UACGUAGGUGGCAAGCGUUGUCCGGAUUUACUGGGCGUAAAGAGCGCGCAGGCGGUCGUUCAAGUCGCGUGUGAAAGCCCCCGGCUCAACUGGGGAGGGUCACGCGAUACUGAUCGACUCGAAGGCAGGAGAGGGAAGUGGAAUUCCCGGUGUAGUGGUGAAAUGCGUAGAUAUCGGGAGGAACACCGGUGGCGAAGGCGGUUCUCUGGGCCUGUGCUGACGCUGAGGAGCGAAAGCGUGGGGAGCGAACAGG
rnacentral:rRNA from 1 species